rnacentral:lncRNA from 1 species
CGUGAAGUGACAAUCUAUUAUCUGAAAGAGGACUUGGAAGAGUUUAAGUGCAUAUUGAGAAUUCCUGCCCAACUAGUCAAAUAAGUAAAAAAGGAACUACAUCUACAAAAAAAGAGUGAAAAAUGAACAAAGAGUGAAAAAUGAAAUCAGCAGAAAGUCUACAAUGGAAGAGCUACCUAGAAACCAACAAAUGGCCUACAUUCUGGGUCACAACAGCUCAAUGUACAGUGAUGGACUCCUCAUUAGCUGUGCACUAGGUGGCUGGGCAUGCAGAAACUAUAAGGCCCCGGCGAGCACAGGAGUAGAAGACAACUGGAUCCUGAGCCACUCUCAAGCAAGGAGAGCAAUGCAGCUUAGAGAGAGAAAAAUGCCUUGCUGAGGGUCAACAGCAAGUGCACAGAUCCCAGGGCUGUGAUGGGACCAGAAGAUGAAGUGCUCUGGCUUCGGGAAAAGAGACCCAAGCCACAAGGUAAAGCCACUGCUCACCAGCCUGGGGCCUACAGGGGACUGAGGUGUGUCUGCAGUUGGGUUUUAACCCCCGUGUGUGUGUGACAAGAGGCAAAAAUGUAUCUGCUAGCCAGGUGUAUCACACACCUGUAAUCCCA